GAACUGACUGUCAUCAAUGAAGCGUCUGCUGAAGACAAGGGAGAUAAAUGUGUUUCACAUACUGGCGCCACAUUAGCAGCUCUAAAAUUAUCAAGGCAAGCUUUACAAAAUGUGGAAUUCAUUUUUGUGGAAAACAUCAUGCAUUGCAUCCUUGAGACUGGGAAACUCUUGCAAUGUGAAGAACCUCCACAGAGCUCCCCAUACUUUGGUGUGGCUUGCAGGAAAGAGCUGUAUAGCUGUAUAUUUUCCUGUGCUUUGGUUUUCUUAGGCCCUGGCUGCUCUCGAAAGAAAGUGAUUACUCACUUUCAGAUGUCCAAUACCGCCAUAAAUUUACUUCGGGAUGGAAUGUUCGAGGAUGUAUCUUU
rnacentral:sRNA from 1 species